rnacentral:rRNA from 1 species
AGUGAACGCUGGCGGUAGGCCUAACACAUGCAAGUCGAACGGCAGCACAGUAAGAGCUUGCUCUUACGGGUGGCGAGUGGCGGACGGGUGAGGAAUACAUCGGAAUCUACUUUUUCGUGGGGGAUAACGUAGGGAAACUUCCGCUAAUACCGCAUACGACCUACGGGUGAAAGCAGGGGAUCUUCGGACCUUUCGCGAUUGAAUGAGCCGAUGUCGGAUUAGCUAGUGGGCGGGGUAAAGGCCCACCAAGGCGACGAUACGUAGCUGGUCCGAGAGGAUGAUCAGCACACUGGAACUGAGACACGGUCCAGACUCCUACGGGAGGCAGCAGUGGGGAAUAUUGGACAAUGGGCGCAAGCCUGAUCCAGCCAUACCGCGUGAGUGAAGAAGGCCUUCGGGUUGUAAAGCCCUUUUGUUGGGAAAGAAAAGCAGCAGAUUAAUACCCCGCUGUUCUGACGGUACCCAAAGAAUAAGCACCGGCUAACUUCGUG